GACGUAGGGCGCGAGCGUUGUCCGGAUUUAUUGGGCGUAAAGAGCUCGUAGGCGGCUCAGAAAGUCGGGUGUGAAACCUCCAGGCUCAACCUGGAGACGCCACCUGAUACUGCUGUGGCUAGAGUCCGGUAGGGGAACACGGAAUACCCGGUGUAGCGGUGAAAAUGCUUAGAUAUCGGGUGGAACACCAGUGGCGAAGGCGGUGUUCUGGGGCCGGAACUGACGCUGAGGAGCGAAAAGCGUGGGGGAGCAAACAGG
rnacentral:rRNA from 1 species